CUUCCAGUUCUGGGCUAGGGCUCCCAAGUUAAUCUUGGCCCCUGCGAGUGUGCUGACCUGCACUGGCCGAUGAGGACAUGGCUCUCUGGGCUGGAGAAGGGAGUUCCCCAAGGCCUUCCUUCCACAGAGCCAGAGUCAACACUAAUUGAGCACCU